AUGCUGGGGACCCUCUGCUCUCUCAUCACAGCUCUAACAUGUGUGAGUGGUGUGACAGUGGUGACACAGAAGCCUUCAGUUCUGACGGUGAGGAAAGGAGAGACAGCAACCAUGGACUGUAACCUGGGGACUGUUACUAACAGCGAAGCUCGUUGGUACAGGCAGAUCCCAGGAGGAGUUCCUCUCUAUAUGCUGAGGUUUCAUCAUAGCUUUAGUUCACCCAGCUAUGACACUGGGUUCCCUUCUGCAAGACACACUUCCACUCAUCAAUCAACAUCAGAUUAUCGUUUGAUCAUCAACAACAUAGAAGAAGGAGACUCUGUAGUUUAUUACUGUAAAACAUGGGACAGCUCUGUUGAUGAUGUGGUAUUCGGCCAAGGAACCAAGCUGAUUGUAACAGGUAAGGAUCUGUUUUAA